GCAUAAAAAGAGAAACUCCAUUUUCCCUUUAUUCCCAAAUUCCAAUUUCCCAAAACUCCUUUGUCUUCCACUCUUCCCCCUCUCACUCAGAUCAGCUGCUCUUCUCCCUUUCACUGAGACUUUAUACUCGAUCAAUCUGAAUCGUCGAAUCAAAUCGAUCCAACGAUGGAGACCAACAACUGCAUGUCCGUGCUGUCGUGUGUGGGCACCAACGUCGCCUUCGCCUUCUUCGCCUCACUGGAACGCUGCUCCUGCAUCAAUCUCAACACUGCCGAUUUCGACGACGACAAUCACAACAUCACCAACGACGACGACCACCGCGCUCUUUUCCUCUCCUCCUCCUCCAGGCCAACUGCCGGGUCCCACCAAGACCAGCCCAUCAAGCCCGCUGCCACCACCACCCACCACCGCCUCAGCGACGGCGUUUCAGCUUGAUACAACCACUCACUCGCAGCGGCUCUCACCAUCAGCAUCCAAAACAUAACUAAAGAGGAAGGGAAUCAAAUCUCAGGAGUACCAGAAGUCCUAUGUGCCAAGUGUUCACUUGCAAAUUUGGUGCUUUCAGAGCAAAUCAGCAUCAAGAUGCACCGCUGUAUUAUAUACAGCCUUGCUCGCUUCCCCUUCAAGACUCUACCUCUUUGAGCCUGAACCUUGCACCCCUUCUGCGGAGGAAAAGGCAGGCACCCCAUCCCUGAGAGUUUCUCUGAAAGAACCAUCAAAACCUAAAACUGUGUUUUGGAGAUUGUUCACACUUUGCUGAUAGUAUAAACUGACUGCUCACAUUUAGAAGUGCUUAGUGUGGGAGGUUACGAAAAGUUGGUUACGAAAUUUUGUCUUCCAGUGCAGCAAGUUACUGUAAAUUUUUUGCAAGUUUGGGGGUUGGAGCAUGUGGCUUCCCUUGGGAGUUCCGCAAGGAGCCAAAACCCAAUUUUCUGGAUUCAACCAUUUUUUUUUCACAGCAGUAGCAGUUUCAUGGGAGGGGAGUUUCUGCUUAGCUGUCUGUUCAACCAGUUGAACCAAGAUUUUUAACUAUUGGGAAGCUACUUAAUGCUUAUAAGUAAAUGGCUCAUCUCAUAAGCAGUUUUAGAGCUUUGGAACAAGUGCUUUUAAUUUCCUUCAGUGAGCAUUAAUUAUAUAUGAUUUUACAAGCCACCCAAGAGAGUUGGAGACGGAAGAUUCUUCUAUGAGCCAACUUUAGUUCACAUGCUUGAUGGUGUCGAUUUUGCGGCUAUUGUAGUAGUAGUCAUUCUAACGUGGGAUAGAUCUUUGUGGGAUGGUUGCGGGAUGUGAGUGGGCGGGUUGGCCGGUUGUAUAGUGAUGGUCAACUGACCAGUCGCAUCCACUAGUAUCCUGCAUAGGAUAAAACCUAGAAACAUUUGCAUGCUCAAGUUACUAUUUAGAACCUGACACCAUCACACAGUGAAGUGAUGCAGCGUAGGUUUGAAGGUAUCAUGUGUUGGUACUUUUAUGCGCAAACGAAACGAAUUCUAACAAAGUAUCAAAUAUCAAUAUCAUUGGCGAAGCGAAUAAACAAUCUCAAAAAUAAGAACACAAGAGAUUUAACGUGGUUCUGUGUAAAGCUCACGUACACGGUCGAAGCACAACGAUAAAUUUCACAAACGAAAAUAAC